rnacentral:tRNA from 1 species
GCCUCUUUGGCGCAAUGGCUAGCGCGUAUGAUUUCUAAUCCUGAGGUUGUGGGUUCGAGUCCCACAAGAGGUG